CUCUGUUCCAAGAAUUCUACUCUUUUACAGAGCAUCUUUUUGAGUGUCUUGGUUUUAAUUGGAUUUGGAUCUCCACAUCGUUGGUGGAAGAAGGUUAUCAGAAUGGCUUCAAAAUUUGCGACCACAAUUGGCGACCACGAAGGGACAAGGAAUUAAGGUGAUUGCUGGGAGCCUUGGGGAAUGCCAAAGCCUUGCACAUCAGAGAACACCAAGCGGCCGCUACAAUAAGCUAUCUUUCUGCAGGUGGAGAUGGCAUCUGGAUAACAGACGGAGAUGCAGAGGUCCUGGAGCAGGUGCGGGCAAUCUGAUGACGAGUGUGAGGGGACAACGGAGUGAAACAGGCUGCUCCAGACAGCUGAGCCAUGACCCAUCCAGUAGCUGUUGAACCUGCUGCAGAGCCUACAGCCCAGGUGGAGCCGUACAGUGCCCAAACCAGCUUCCGAAUGAUGGAUGUGCAAAAUCAACUACUAACCAUCGCCGACCCUGACUUUAAUCAAGAGUAGGACCAAGUCGUCUCGAGUAUUCUUAGAAGCUAUGCAAGAUCCAGCAGUCAAGAAGUACCAAGAGA